rnacentral:rRNA from 1 species
UACGAAGGGGGCUAGCGUUGCUCGGAAUCACUGGGCGUAAAGCGCACGUAGGCGGACUCUUAAGUCGGUGGUGAAAUCCUGGAGCUCAACUCCAGAACUGCCUUCGAUACUGAGAGUCUCGAGUCCGAGAGAGGUGAGUGGAACUGCGAGUGUAGAGGUGAAAUUCGUAGAUAUUCGCAAGAACACCAGUGGCGAAGGCGGCUCACUGGCUCGGUACUGACGCUGAGGCACGAAAGCGUGGGGAGCAAACAGG